CAUUGGCUCACACGAUGUUAAAUUAAUUUUUCUAGGGGGAAAGCUCACCACAGUAGCUUGCUCCUGGGGCUUUCGUGAGUCGCCUAAGCGUUGCACUAUAGCUCAGGCCUGGCGCACCCCAC
rnacentral:snRNA from 1 species